GCCCGCCUAGCUCAAUCGGAUAGAGCGUCAGACUCUUAAAGCUGGUGAUCUGAAGGCUGCGAGUUCGACCCUCGCGGUGGGCU